CCGGGGAGCGCCGCUAAGUGUUCCCCGAACCCCUCCCGAGAGCCGCCCGAGCGGAAGGCCAGCCGAAGCGGAAAGUUAUGUCACCGCCUGAGCCUCCAAUCGCGGCCUUCGUCGCUUAAUCUUAAAACAGGAGUGCUGGUUUCGAACACUGGAAGACUAACAGGGACUGGGAAAAACGGUAGGAUAUACGCCUACGAUGGAACACCAUCAGCACAGUGAAGAAUUUGAGAGCUGUUUUUAUACGUUGUACUUGCAGGGAUGAUGCACAAAGAAAGCAUGAUGUACAAAACCGGUAGAACACGGUGCCUUUUAUUAAGGAAGAGGAAGAAAACAGUCUACUUGUGCAUGUCCUCUCCCCUGAACUCGAACAACUCCACCUGUGGGAUGAGACGCAAGGCGACACAACUCCUUUCAGCAUUAGCCCGUCCACAGAAGAGUCCCUGGUCUCUGCCAGACCUGGCCUGAGCACCCAGACAGUCAAACCAAGAGUGGACAAAGUAGCACUUUUGGUAAGUUCUGGGAGCUCUAGUCUCAACUUUGGUAGCGGUGGGCCGGUCGCACACAAUUUGUUGACCUCAGGAGAUCAAUCUAUUUACUACCUGCUCCACCCAGGAAGGACAAGCUCCAGCCAAUCCUAAGCCAGCCAUCUCAGAAGGCCAAUCUGGUAGGCAGUGGAAAGGACCCAACACCUUUCAACAGUCUCGCGAACAUUCUCCAAGUAUCCACUAAGGAGGGCUCAGCCAUUCUGACACUGAAUGGUGUCAAGUUCCACCGCUCAGUGAAGGCUUUCCUCAGCUCGACCCAUGGAGGGCAUCUCUCCCCUCCUUUGAUCUCUAAAGCACCAACAUUCUAUACUGUCAUUUAUAACUAUACAGAUUCUGACCUUGACUCCUCUCAGUCAAAAUUAUAACCAA